ACGAAGGGGGCUAGCGUUGCUCGGAAUUACUGGGCGUAAAGGGCGCGUAGGCGGACAGUUUAGUCGGGGGUGAAAGCCCGGGGCUCAACCUCGGAAUUGCCUUCGAUACUGGCUGUCUUGAGUACGGGAGAGGUGUGUGGAACUCCGAGUGUAGAGGUGAAAUUCGUAGAUAUUCGGAAGAACACCAGUGGCGAAGGCGACACACUGGCCCGUUACUGACGCUGAGGCGCGAAAGCGUGGGGAGCAAACAGGAUUAGAUACCCUGGUAGUCCACGCCGUAAACGAUGAGUGCUAGUUGUCGGCAUGCAUGCAUGUCGGUGACGCAGCUAACGCAUUAAGCACUCCGCCUGGGGAGUACGGUCGCAAGAUUA
rnacentral:rRNA from 1 species